rnacentral:rRNA from 1 species
AUACGUAGGUGGCAAGCGUUGUCCGGAUUUAUUGGGCGUAAAGCGCGCGCAGGCGGUUUCUUAAGUCUGAUGUGAAAGCCCACGGCUUAACCGUGGAGGGUCAUUGGAAACUGGGAGACUUGAGUGCAGAAGAGGAAAGUGGAAUUCCAAGUGUAGCGGUGAAAUGCGUAGAGAUUUGGAGGAACACCAGUGGCGAAGGCGACUUUCUGGUCUGCAACUGACGCUGAGGCGCGAAAGCAUGGGGAGCAAACAGGAUUAGAUACCCUGGUAGUCCAUGCCGUAAACGAUGAGUGCUAAGUGUUAGGGGGUUUCCGCCCCUUAGUGCUGCAGCUAACGCAUUAAGCACUCCGCCUGGGGAGUACGACCGCAAGGUUGAA